AUUGAACUCUGGCGGCAGGCCUAACACAUGCAAGUCGAGCGGUAGCACAGAGAGCUUGCUCUCGGGUGACGAGCGGCGGACGGGUGAGUAAUGUCUGGGAAACUGCCUGAUGGAGGGGGAUAACUACUGGAAACGGUAGCUAAUACCGCAUAACGUCGCAAGACCAAAGUGGGGGACCUUCGGGCCUCAUGCCAUCAGAUGUGCCCAGAUGGGAUUAGCUAGUAGGUGGGGUAACGGCUCACCUAGGCGACGAUCCCUAGCUGGUCUGAGAGGAUGACCAGCCACACUGGAACUGAGACACGGUCCAGACUCCUACGGGAGGCAGCAGUGGGGAAUAUUGCACAAUGGGCGCAAGCCUGAUGCAGCCAUGCCGCGUGUGUGAAGAAGGCCUUCGGGUUGUAAAGCACUUUCAGCGGGGAGGAAGGCGUUAAGGUUAAUAACCUUGGCGAUUGACGUUACCCGCAGAAGAAGCACCGGCUAACUCCGUGCCAGCAGCCGCGGUAAUACGGAGGGUGCAAGCGUUAAUCGGAAUUACUGGGCGUAAAGCGCACGCAGGCGGUCUGUCAAGUCGGAUGUGAAAUCCCCGGGCUCAACCUGGGAACUGCAUUCGAAACUGGCAGGCUAGAGUCUUGUAGAGGGGGGUAGAAUUCCAGGUGUAGCGGUGAAAUGCGUAGAGAUCUGGAGGAAUACCGGUGGCGAAGGCGGCCCCCUGGACAAAGACUGACGCUCAGGUGCGAAAGCGUGGGGAGCAAACAGGAUUAGAUACCCUGGUAGUCCACGCCGUAAACGAUGUCGAUUUGGAGGUUGUGCCCUUGAGGCGUGGCUUCCGGAGCUAACGCGUUAAAUCGACCGCCUGGGGAGUACGGCCGCAAGGUUAAAACUCAAAUGAAUUGACGGGGGCCCGCACAAGCGGUGGAGCAUGUGGUUUAAUUCGAUGCAACGCGAAGAACCUUACCUGGUCUUGACAUCCACAGAACUUAGCAGAGAUGCUUUGGUGCCUUCGGGAACUGUGAGACAGGUGCUGCAUGGCUGUCGUCAGCUCGUGUUGUGAAUUGUUGGGUUAAGUCCCGCAACGAGCGCAACCCUUAUCCUUUGUUGCCAGCGGUCCGGCCGGGAACUCAAAGGAGACUGCCAGUGAUAAACUGGAGGAAGGUGGGGAUGACGUCAAGUCAUCAUGGCCCUUACGACCAGGGCUACACACGUGCUACAAUGGCAUAUACAAAGAGAAGCGACCUCGCGAGAGCAAGCGGACCUCAUAAAGUAUGUCGUAGUCCGGAUUGGAGUCUGCAACUCGACUCCAUGAAGUCGGAAUCGCUGGUAAUCGUAGAUCAGAAUGCUACGGUGAAUACGUUCCCGGGCCU
rnacentral:rRNA from 1 species